rnacentral:rRNA from 1 species
GAUGAACGCUGGCGGCGUGCCUAAUACAUGCAAGUCGAGCGAACAGACGAGGAGCUUGCUCCUCUGACGUUAGCGGCGGACGGGUGAGUAACACGUGGAUAACCUACCUAUAAGACUGGGAUAACUUCGGGAAACCGGAGCUAAUACCGGAUAAUAUAUUGAACCGCAUGGUUCAAUAGUGAAAGACGGUUUUGCUGUCACUUAUAGAUGGAUCCGCGCCGCAUUAGCUAGUUGGUAAGGUAACGGCUUACCAAGGCAACGAUGCGUAGCCGACCUGAGAGGGUGAUCGGCCACACUGGAACUGAAACACGGUCCAGACUCCUACGGGAGGCAGCAGUAGGGAAUCUUCCGCAAUGGGCGCAAGCCUGACGGAGCAACGCCGCAUGAGUGAUGAAGGUCUUCGGAUCGUAAAACUCUGUUAUUAGGGAAGAACAAAUGUGUAAGUAACUAUGCACGUCUUGACGGUACCUAAUCAGAAAGCCACGGCUAACUACGUG